rnacentral:lncRNA from 1 species
UCUUUUGCUUUCACCCACAGUAAUCCCAUUUCGAGGUUAGGGUCCAAUGGAUAUUUUCUCCGAUUCAACUACAACAAUUGGGCCAAGUACAGGAAGUUUCAUCGACACUAAUAACAAACGAAAAUGCAGUUUUAAAGCUCUCAAAUUAGCAACUCGUAUACACACAAGAUGUAAAAGAAUGACUGAGAUUGCAAAAACAUCAUUCUAAUUCAAUCAAUGAAAGUAAAACAUCUAUAGCCAUAUAGCAUAUCAUUCGUCCAAAAACGUCUAAAACACAACCAAAAACCACUGAAAUUGUUGGCCAUUUUAUGGCUAGAAUUUUAAAUAGACAACUAUCCAAAAAGAGCUUCAAGAAUAAUCUAAAUUUGCAUUGCUUCUGCAUGAUAGUUUUCCAGCUCCUUGUCAAGAUCCUCAGCUGAUUUAUCCACAGUUUUCUUCACCCAACGUGCUCCACCACGGCCACGGCCUCGGCCUCGGCCUCGACCGCGUCCUCCUCCACGUCCACUGUAUGAACCACCACGGCCCCUCUGACUGAUCAAAAUAUAGACAAUCACACAUUAGGCUCAAAUUGUUAGUUGCACAAGACUAUGGAUAAGAACAGCAAAAGUCUGACUACUGGCCAGAGCCCAGGGGCGUUGGU